rnacentral:lncRNA from 1 species
UGGGUGGGUGGCUAUAGCGAUGGGCUUUCUCUCCAGAGGAGGAGGGGUUGGUAUUGCUUUCCAAGCUAGCGACCGUCAUUACGCAGGAGGACCAAACAAGUUUAAUUCGCAUUUAAAGUGCUUAAAGUAGCCGUAAACUCUUCCCAGCGGACAACUGCGCAGUCAGUGGGAUUACAGCGAGUGGAGAAGAAGCCCUUGCUCGUGACUGAAAGCGUCUUCUGUUUGAGGAAACGAGAGGAAAACAGCAAAAAGGAACAGAGGAAAUCCCCCAAAAGGAAAUGCCAAUCGCAGCCGCUGGACAGCCCUCGACUCAGGAGCCUCGCGUUUGCCCCCGGCUGCCCUCCACCCCAGAACCUGUCCCCAAAGGGGCUGAUUUAUUCGACGAGGCGGGGGUGGCGGAAUCUGCGGAGCGGACAGACUACGGGGGUGCAGAGGGCGGCUUUAGUUACAGCCUCGGCGGCGCUCGGAGCUUCCUACAGCCCGGAUCCACCAGCUUCUCUCCGCCGCAGUCCCCCGCCGCGUCCUCCUCGUUUCUCUUCCACCCCCUUCACGCGCACCAAAUGGCUAUGGAGCCCCCGAGGACUCGAUCGCGUUCUCGCUCAGGAUAUUACCAGCAGUACUCUGGUAUGAAUGGCAAUGGGAUUACAGGGAGCACGGUCAUGGGAUCCAGCCACCACCUCCUCCACCACCACCACCACCACCAUCAGCAACUCCUUCCACAGCAGCUGCAUCCAGCCGGCUGCGCACCACUAGGAGCUCACGGGAGCCAAGAAAACCAGCAGCGAGCCCCAGGAAGUAACGCCUCUGCCGGCAUCCAGAGGUUUUCCUCAGUGAAUGGUUCACACCGCAUCCCAGCUCCAGGAGCUUCUGGUGGGUCGUACCUCUGCCACCCAGACCACGCUUACGGGGAGGAGAGUGAUAAGAGUGAGGAAAGCCCCAGUCCGAAGCGCCAGAGGCUGUCCAGCCAGUCUGUCUUGGAGCAGCUCACCUCUUCUGCCCCACCACCUUCAACCCAUCACCCCCCAUCCGCCCCUGGGAGUCGGGACCGCCCAAUCGCAGACCCCCUCACCCCCACGCACACUACCACCAGGAGCGGUGCCUCACUCCAGCGCGGCUCCGGCGCAGGUAAGAACUCUUAUCAUUUCUAA